GAACGCUGGCGGCGCGCCUAAUACAUGCAAGUCGAGCGAGAAGACGUAGCAAUACGUUUGUAAAGCGGCGAACGGGUGAGGAAUACAUGGGUAACCUACCCUCGAGUGGGGAAUAACUAGCCGAAAGGUUAGCUAAUACCGCGUACGCUCCUUGGACUUCGGUUCAGGGAGGAAAGCGAUACCGUGGGUAUCGCGCUCUUGGAUGGGCUCAUGUCCUAUCAGCUUGUUGGUGAGGUAACGGCUCACCAAGGCUUCGACGGGUAGCUGGUCUGAGAGGACGAUCAGCCACACUGGCACUGCGACACGGGCCAGACUCCUACGGGAGGCAGCAGUAAGGAAUAUUGCGCAAUGGGCGAAAGCCUGACGCAGCGACGCCGCGGUGGGGGA
rnacentral:rRNA from 1 species